CUUUCUGGGAGGAAGGAGGGGAGGUGAUACAUUAGGAAAGGUUGAUUUGCAUGGCAACCUGGGGCAGAAUGGAGAAUGAAAUAAAAACUCAUCAUCACCCCUGCUCCACAGAUUGCCUUUACUCCAAACCUCCAUAAGGUUGUGUCAGGAGUUGAGAAGUAUAUACCUUUCAAGUCAGGUUAACCAGGUCAAGUCCCUUCAAGCAACCGUCAUAUAACAUGGAUUCAAGACCCUUCACCCUCCUGAUCACUCUCCUUUGGCUGCUCUUCAGCUUACCGGUGUGCCUCUGAAUCCACAGGGUAUAGAAGUGGAUAUAAUGCACAAAAUGAGGUCUGACAAGGGUGGAACUUAGUGGGAUUGUCAGAAGCUAAGCCCCUCUUGACACAUCUCAAGAUCAUGUUAAUUCUUCAGCUGUCACAUCACACUGAUGACUUAUAUAGAGCUUGCAGUUCAUUAAACUCCCCAGUUCUUUUUUUCAGAACAUUUGCUGUCUAUCCAUACCUCCCCCAUUGUACACUUAGGCUGUUAUAUUUUGUAUACAAGUACAAGACUUUACAUUUG